UUUUCCAAAUGCCUCAACGGUACUCUAGAUUUGUUCCAGAGAGCGGAGCGGGCAGUGCCUCAACGGUACUCUAGAUUUGUUAAAAUGUAGAGCGGAGAAUGUCUCAAUGUUUUUUUUCCAGAGAGCGGAGCGGGCAGUGCCUCAACGGUACUCUAGAUUUGUUCCAGAAUGCCUCAACGGUAAUCUGGAUUUUUUUCUAGAAUGCAGAGCGGAGAAUGUCUCAAUGAUUUUUUUGAAUUCAAUUAUAGCCGUGAGAUGAUCAGAAAUAGACGGCAUAGAUGGAAUUGGCCGUUAUUUGUCUAGAUUACCGUUUGAAAUAGUACCAUUCACCUCCUCUAUUUAUAGGCAAUUCAUUUGAAAAUCAGGCGCAGAUUGUUCCCCAUUCAUUUUUUUUUGUUUGCGUGUGAUUGUCAUGUUUCUGGGUUUUAUUCAGAUUGUUCCCUGUUCUAUUUGUUUUUUGUUUGCGUAUGAUCCCCUUAUGUUUUUAUUCAGUUUUUGUGUUUGGAUUUUUUCCUAUUUCAAUUUUCAUGGUAUUCUGAAUCUCGAAUGGGGCACUGAGGGCAGAGCUAUACAUCCAUUAUAUUUGCAGUUGCAUUUCCUCUAAUAUGCAAGGAGGUAUUCGAUCACGGGACCUAUUCCGCCAGAGCUUGGGAGGGAGGUUGCAGAGUCUGCGGAAUAUGGAGAUCGGCUAUAAUUCUUAUUCAGGCGUCCUGCCACAAGGUCUGUCAGUGCCAACAACCAAUACAACCGAAACUGUAACAUAGAAAGUAGCACAGCAACGCUAUUUAAAAUGAGAAAGAAACAAAACGAGUUAGCAUGUGAACAUUGCAGACUCUGACCAAGGUCAGGAAGGAAAUGAUUAGAUAUUUGAAGAGACUCUAGUGAGGUGUUCUAGGAACUUUUCACCUAUAUCAAAUAUCAAGCUCUUUGGUGAAACCAAUAUACCCUGCGAACAGGCCAACUGACGAACAGGCCAACUGACUAUGGUAUCAAUCAACUUAAGUCAAACAUCGGGCGGCCUUUAAUCGAUGUACUUGUUCAUGCAGUGUGAACAUCAAUUUGAUGCCGAACUAUCUUGAUCAAUGCCUCCUAUAGGAUAUCUCCUUGAUGCAACAUGCAAACUGUGCGGCAAGUAAUUGACUCUGCAACACUUGCAUGCUUCUUUUGAUGAUUGAUCAAACACACCCUUUCCUCUCAAUUGAGAGAUUGGAAGUCCAUGCAGCACAACGCCAUCAGUAAUCUGAAAGUACCAAAACCAAAGUGUGCAUCUCGUAUGAAAACUUUUAAAAAUUGCACUGAAGUUUUAGGGAUUGUGGUAGAUGAAAUCGUGAAGUGCAUUGUGAUUUGAGCGGCAGAGCAUUGAAUCUAAACAUUGAAGUGCUGAAACUACCAUUUUUUGCAAAGAACAAUUCGUUAAUUAUGUGCUGUUGUGGGUGAUGGAUAUCGCAGAACAAGCACCCUUACAUUAUGAAUUCUCCUAUAUAUUAUUCAUAACGGAAAAUGCGUGGAGGGUCUGCUGUUACUCCAGAUAAAUCCUUGAAUGGUAACUACGAAAAAUGUCUGCAAUAUAUAUAUAUAUAUACACGUUUUGUAAUGUCGGGAAUAAUAAUUUUUAAUAAUCCGUGGGGGUUUUAGGGGGCGUUGAAAACGUAUUCAUUUUCUUCAACUUACCUUCUCGUGUAUGUUACUAACAUUCCUUUGUAUUAAUGUGUAGUUACUGUUUGAACUGAGAGUUUGCAAACUUGGCUAUAUGCAAUUAUAAUGUGUAUGUUAUCAGUGCAUACCACUAUUCCGUGUCAACCUUCCUCUGUCUUCUUCUUCUUUUUAGUCUUGUUCUAAUCUACUACUUGUCAUCUUAUGACUCAUAGCUCUCUACUACUCUACUACUCUGAUGAUGGAUCAAAGAGUGUGAUCCGAAAUGCUGAUGCAAAAAUGAAAACACAAUCUAAUUCUAGAAAAAUCUACAGAUUAUUAUGGGUUGUGGAAAUCGGAUAUCAUUAAUUAUACAGUGGUAUACCAUUACAUAUUGAAUGUGUUUGCAGUUUAUGAAUAAUAUU